CCUACGGGAGGCUGCAGUGAGGAAUAUUGGUCAAUGGCCGGAAGGCUGAACCAGCCAUGCCGCGUGCAGGUCAGUGCCCUAUGGGCGUUAAACUUCUUUUGUGCGGGAGCAAUACUGGUCACGUGUGGCCAGACGAGAGUACCGUACGAAUAAGCAUCGGCUAACUCCGUGCCAGCAGCCGCGGUAAUACGGGGGAUGCAAGCGUUAUCCGGAUUUAUUGGGUUUAAAGGGUGCGUAGGCUGUGAGGUAAGUCAGCGGUGAAAUGCCCCCGCUCAACGGGGUGAAGUGCCAUUGAUACUGCCUGGCUGGAAUGCGGAUGCCGUGGGAGGAAGGUGUGGUGUAGCGGUGAAAUGCAUAGAUAUCACACAGAACACCGAUUGCGAAGGCAUCUCACGAAUCCGCGAUUGACGCUGAUGCACGAAAGCGUGGGUAUCAAACAGGAUUAGAUACCCUAGUAGUC
rnacentral:rRNA from 1 species